CAGCCGCCGCGGGAAUACGUAGGUCCCGAGCGUUGUCCGGAUUUAUUGGGCGUAAAGCGAGCGCAGGCGGUUUGAUAAGUCUGAAGUUAAAGGCUGUGACUCAACCAUAGUUCGCUUUGGAAACUGUUUAACUUGAGUGCAAGAGGGGAGAGUGGAAUUCCAUGUGUAGCGGUGAAAUGCGUAGAUAUAUGGAGGAACACCGGUGGCGAAGGCGGCUCUCUGGCUUGUAACUGACGCUGAGGCUCGAAAGUGUGGGGAGCAAACAGGAUUAGAUACCCGCGUAGUCCCUGUCUCUUAUACA
rnacentral:rRNA from 1 species